rnacentral:rRNA from 1 species
UACGUAGGGGACCAGCGUUGUCCGGAUUUACUGGGCGUAAAGAGCGCGCAGGCGGUCGUUCAAGUCGAGUGUGAAAGCCCCCGGCUCAACUGGGGAGGGUCAUUCGAUACUGAUCGACUUGAAGGCAGGAGAGGGAAGUGGAAUUCCCGGUGUAGUGGUGAAAUGCGUAGAUAUCGGGAGGAACACCAAUGGCGAAGGCAGCUUGCUGGGACGGUACUGACGCUGAGGCGCGAAAGCGUGGGGAGCAAACAGG